GACGAACGCUGGCGGCGUGCUUAACACAUGCAAGUCGAACGGAAAGGCCCUGCUUUUGUGGGGUGCUCGAGUGGCGAACGGGUGAGUAACACGUGAGUAACCUGCCCUUGACUUUGGGAUAACUUCAGGAAACUGGGGCUAAUACCGGAUAGGAGCUCCUGCUGCAUGGUGGGGGUUGGAAGGUUCGGCGGUUGGGGAUGGACCCGCGGCUUAUCAGCUUGUUGGUGGGGGAGUGGCUUACCAAGGCUUUGACGGGUAGCCGGCCUGAGAGGGGGACCGGCCACAUUGGGACUGAGAUACGGCCCAGACUCCUACGGGAGGCAGCAGUGGGGAAUAUUGCACAAUGGGCGGAAGCCUGAUGCAGCAACGCCGCGUGCGGGAUGACGGCCUUCGGGUUGUAAACCGCUUUCGCCUGUGACGAAGCGUGAGUGACGGUAAUGGGUAAAGAAGCACCGGCUAACUACGUG
rnacentral:rRNA from 1 species